UACAGAGGUCUCAAGCGUUGUUCGGAUUCAUUGGGCGUAAAGAGCGUGUAGGCGGUCCGGUAAGUCCGCUGUGAAAGUCGGGGGCUCAACCCUCGAAUGCCGGUGGAUACUGUCGGGCUAGAGUGCGGAAGAGGCGAGUGGAAUUCCUGGUGUAGCGGUGAAAUGCGCAGAUAUCAGGAGGAACACCAAUUGCGAAGGCAGCUCGCUGGGACGUAACUGACGCUGAGACGCGAAAGCGUGGGGAGCAAACAGG
rnacentral:rRNA from 1 species